AUACAGGGGGAUAACACUUAGAAAUAGGUGCUAAUACCGCAUAAGCGCACGGUUCCGCAUGGAACAGUGUGAAAAACUCCGGUGGUAUACGAUGGAUCCGCGUCUGAUUAGCCAGUUGGCGGGGUAACGGCCCACCAAAGCGACGAUCAGUAGCCGGCCUGAGAGGGUGAACGGCCACAUUGGGACUGAGACACGGCCCAAACUCCUACGGGAGGCAGCAGUGGGGAAUAUUGCACAAUGGGGGAAACCCUGAUGCAGCGACGCCGCGUGAGUGAAGAAGUAUUUCGGUACGUAAAGCUCUAUCAGCAGGGAAGAAAAUGACGGUACCUGACUAAGAAGCCCCGGCUAACUACGUGCCAGCAGCCGCGGUAAUACGUAGGGGGCAAGCGUUAUCCGGAUUUACUGGGUGUAAAGGGAGCGUAGACGGCAGCGCAAGUCUGGAGUGAAAUGCCGGGGCCCAACCCCGGAACUGCUUUGGAAACUGUGCAGCUCGAGUGCAGGAGAGGUAAGCGGAAUUCCUAGUGUAGCGGUGAAAUGCGUAGAUAUUAGGAGGAACACCAGUGGCGAAGGCGGCUUACUGGACUGUAACUGACGUUGAGGCUCGAAAGCGUGGGGAGCAAACAGGAUUAGAUACCCUGGUAGUCCACGCCGUAAACGAUGAUUACUAGGUGUCGGGGGGCCAAGGCCCUCCGGUGCCGCCGCAAACGCAUUAAGUA
rnacentral:rRNA from 1 species